CCAGCAGCUGCGGUAAUUCCAGCUCCAAUAGCGUAUAUUUAAGUUGUUGCAGUUAAAAAGCUCGUAGUUGGAUUUCGGGCGGGGCCUGCCGGUCCGCCGAAUGGUGUGCACUGGCUGAGUUGAUCUUGCUGCCGGGGACGCGCUUCUGGCCUUAAUUGGCUGGGACGCGGAGUCGGCGAUGUUACUUUGAAAAAAUUAGAGUGUUCAAAGCAGGCCUAAGCUCUGAAUACAUUAGCAUGGAAUAACGCUAUAGGACUCUGGUCUUAUUGCGUUGGUCUUCGAGACCGGAGUAAUGAUUAAGAGGGACAGUUGGGGGCAUUCGUCUUUCAUUGUCAGCGGUGAAAUUCUUGGACUUAUGAAAGGCGAACUUCUGCGAAAGCAUUUGCCAAGGAUGUUUUCAUCAAUCAAGACCGAAAGU
rnacentral:rRNA from 1 species